UAGCUCAGUUGGAAGAGCAUGGUGUUUGCAAUGCCAGGGUUGUGGGUUCGAUUCCCAC
rnacentral:tRNA from 1 species